rnacentral:rRNA from 1 species
GUGUCAGCCGCCGCGGUAAUACAGAGGUGGCAAGCGUUGUUCGGAAUUACUGGGCGUAAAGGGCGCGUAGGCGGCCGCCUAAGUCAGACGUGAAAUCCCCAAGCUUAACUUGGGAACUGCGUCUGAUACUGGGUGGCUUGAGUUCGGGAGAGGAAUGUGGAAUUCCAGGUGUAGCGGUGAAAUGCGUAGAUAUCUGGAGGAACACCGGUGGCGAAGGCGGCAUUCUGGACCGAAACUGACGCUGAUGCGCGAAAGCCAGGGGAGCAAACGGGAUUAGAUACCCUCGUAGUCC